rnacentral:tRNA from 1 species
UCCCUGAAGGUCCAAUGGGUAGGACUCCGCACUUUCACUGCUGAGAGUCCAGGUUCAAUUGCUGGCUGGGGAA